ensembl:lncRNA
CUGUUUCUCUAGAAUUGUAAAAAUAAGGAGGAAGAGGGUGAAAUGCAUUGUAAGGUUCCUUGGCAUCUGAGGAUAAAAUUCUGCUAUCACAACAGAAGGAUUUUUUAUAAUGGCCAAGAAAAAAAAUAUUUUGAAUAUGGAAGAAAGUAUGUAAAAGGUCUCAGGCUUUGUACUUCUUGGUUCAGGGGUAUUUGAAGAGCUGAAAGCAGAAACUGCUUGAAACAACUUCUCUUUCUGGCCCUUCUGAAAGUCUUGAGAAUACUAAGCAAGUGUGUCCCCUGACAAGGAAGAAACUGGAGAAGAGUAGGCCAAAGAAUGUCAGACAGAUGGCAAGAAUUGAGGUUGCUGUAGACCCGUGUGGAUUCGCCACCAGUAACAAAACCAUAAUUACACAGGGAGGGUUUCUUCCAUCAGGCUGGUGGCAUGCUCCUUCUACAGCAGAAUAUGCUGCGGCUUUUUUCUUAUUCUUUUGGCCUUCAGAAGAAAGAGUGCUGCAUGCCAGUGUCUUCAAGUGGAUACUUCUGAGGCCCUUCAGAAAGAGCAAGAAUGGAUCCAGAGAGCUGCUUGGCCUCAGGAUACUCCUUUGGUUCAUCUAUAUUCACCAGGGACAUUCCAGUGUUGUCGUUUUUAAACGUUGGACCUUCAAAAAAUUCUUGCUGAACAAAUGAACCUUGUAGGAGUUUCUGUCGCUGGACACUAUUACCGGGGUGACUCUGCAGCUCUCAGAGGACCAGCACCCUGCUGCUCACCCCUAGGCUUUUCUGUGUUGUCAGAGUAUGUCCCCAGACCAGCAGUAGUACAGGGGCUGUAGUCCCAACAUCACCUGGAAAUUUGUUAGAAAUGUAAACAUGGAAAUCUUCAGACCCCACACCAAACAUUCAGAAUCAUAAACUCUGGAACAAUCUGAGUUUUUAAGCCCUCCAGGGGAUUGUGAUACAAGCUAAAUUUGAGCACUACUGUCCUACAGACUGCAAGACCUCACUCCAGGCAGAGAACCCUUAGCCCCAGGCCUACAGUGCACUUGCAGGAGCCUUAAAUGUUCCCUAAGUGAGACCAUCCCAACUUCUAAGCUACAUCAAUUAAUAAGAUAAGGAAAACACCACAUCAUAUUGAUGAAGCUCAUUAAGAAUUCUUUACUAACUCUGUUUAAUUCUUCCCAAUGAUCAGUUGAAUGUCAACCGACUAGCUUUUCAUUUUAACCUGAAAUUAUCCUUUUCAGACAGGCUAAUUUAGUAAGGUUGACAAUAUUCAGACUUUAAGAACUUUCACUUAGUUUAAUAUACAUUCCACAUCCUAAGUUUAUUAUUAAAAGUGGAAAUGGUAGAGCUGUUUUCCAUCAUGAUAUCAUAAAUAAUAAGCAGAAACAUGGUUUAAAAGUUAACUAGGACAGCUAUGUAGAAGUUUUAAUAUGAAUGGCACUUACUGUAUCCCAUUCAAUGUGCCAGGUACCAUGCUUUCUCUCUUCAUACCUAUAUUCUUACCUAUGUUAUGUAAUUUAUCCCUUGCGAUAAAGCUAAAAGGUGGCCAGUUGUAUU